GUGCCAGCAGCUGCGGUAAUACGUAGGGUGCAAGCGUUGUCCGGAAUUAUUGGGCGUAAAGAGCUCGUAGGCGGUUUGUCGCGUCGGCCGUGGAACCCUCGCGCUCAACGCGAGGCGUGCGGUCGAUACGGGCAGACUUGAGUUCGGCAGGGGAGACUGGAAUUCCUGGUGUAGCGGUGAAAUGCGCAGAUAUCAGGAGGAACACCGGUGGCGGAAGGCGGGUCUCUGGGCCGAUACUGACGCUGAGGAGCGAAAGCGUGGGAGCGAACAGGAUUAGGAUACCCUGGUAGUCCACGCCGUAAACAUUGGGCGCUAGGUGUGGGGACUGUUUCCACGGUUUCCGUGCCGUCGCUAACGCAUUAAG
rnacentral:rRNA from 1 species